rnacentral:lncRNA from 1 species
UUUAUUUUUUUUUUUUUUUUUUUGUGAUUUUUUUUUUUUUUUUUUUUUUCGUUUUCUUUUUUUUUUUUUUUUUGUUUUUUUUUUUUUUUAGAACCGUUUGCAUUUGAAAGAGGAGAAGACGUUUAAUGUUUACUUUGUUUUUGUUGUAUGUUCUGGAUUCAAAUGAUUCUGUUUUUGGUCUGAACUUCCUUGGAAUGGUUUUGACGACCUUUGUUUCUGGGCACUGUAAUCCAACCACAUUUCUUGCAUGUUAACAGAAUCUGAGAAGAGUAAUUGUCAAGAGAGUUUUUUAAUAUGGUGUGUCUGUGGUCUGUUUUGUGCUGUGUCGGAGUUGUCUACCGAAUUCAGAUAGUGCAUUUGUCUGUCAAUCCUUUAAAAUCGGAGUAACUGUAGAUAAUGCAUUUGUUAUCACAGAAGUUUGAGCGUCUCUCGGUUGGUCGAAGCUGUGUUUUUGCUGCAAAUUGUUAUGUACAUAGAAGCUGUAUUUGUAUUUUAUAAUAGGAUGUAUGCUUCUGCAACUACUGGAGCCCCGAAAAACAAAAUCCCAACCAUACCAUCAACACAUGUUCCAGACCAAGUUGGAAAGAAAUGGUUUCAAGCGGAUUCCAGAGAUCACCUUUGCUCUGAAAUAUGCCAUACUCGAUCAUAGGCCUCAACUGAGAGAUCUCCACCUGACACUCUUACUUGUGGAACUAAAGCUGUGUGGGUAAUAUCUCAGCUUCAGUGACAGCAUGCUUCAGUUGCUGAAUUUGAUGAACAUAUUUCCUUUGCCAUAACUAAAUUACCAGCUUCUGACGGAUUUGAGAGACCAACAUACUUGUGUAGCUGUUCUAUAGAGGCAUACUGUUCUAGUCGUCAGCAGCCUACUUUGUUUGUUGUGUAUGUAACCCGGCCACUGUUGUUACAAACGUACACUUGAGUUUUUGUCCUCAGGCUGCAUAGACAUCCCGGGAUUGGAGAAUGCCAUGAUUCAUGAUAAUCAAAGUCGAUAGUUUUUAUCGAAUGUUAUGAACUCGGGUGAUGUGUAGCUUUUUUCAAAGCCUCAAUCUUAGGUGCUAGGAUAUUGCACUGUUGGGUCGUUGAGAAACUUUUACCUACAAUCUCCAGUUUAAUGUAUACAGACAAGGCACGUCUGAAUGGGCCAGUCAGUUACAUUGGAGAAAGUGGGAAGCAGAAGAGGAGAAGGGAGUAUAAAUUCCACAUUAAUACCCAAACAAAGAUCUGCUCUUCUCUUCCUUCCUCUUCGCUCUGUAACUCUAUCACUGAAGAAACUAAAGCUCCAGAUCAGACAAAUAACUCUCUUGGUUCACCUAUUCUUUCUUCGACUUGGUUUAUGAGGUAGAUUCCGACUCCACAAAACCCACUCAUCAAUCUCUCAUAACUCUUUUUUACUUUUACUUAGUCAUUUUGUCGAACACCUUGCAUGCAUCUCAAUCGUUGUUGUAGCUAACCUUCUUUUUCAGCUAUCCUGUUUGCCAUAGUUUGAGCAAGUUAUAAGGGAACGUAUUGUUGUCUGAUCUCUGAUGGGGACGGAAGGGUGGGAGUGCGGAAGUGCUUUCGGAGAAUUGAGCGAUGAUGACGAGCUUAAUUUGGUAGAGGAUGAUGACAGUGAACAACUUUUCAACCUAUGCGGUCCUUCAAAGAAACUUCAGUUCAGGUAAGUUUCUGUAGUUCAGUACUGCUAUCAGUGCGGAAUUGAUUGUGUAAAAGAUCAUUACUUGCGCUACUGUUUAAAGAUUGAACCAUUAAACAACACUCCGAUAAACCAUUAUGAAACAGCUGCUGGAUUGAUCUCCAUGUUUAAGAUAGAGUUCAUAAUCUGAUAUUAUCAGGAGUGAUAUCUCAAAGGCUCGAUGGGAUGAGGAGCUUGAUAUGGCUGAAGUAACUGAGAAGAAGGGGAAAAUGUGGAUCACAAUGGGUAUUAUGAGAAGUGGCAAGACAUAUUGCUCAAUCGAGGAGACACUGUAGGUAGAAAGAUUGUACAAAGUUUCCAGCUUUGUGGUGAAUUUGUUGAACCUGUGUUGUUUACUUUACUGUGCAGCUUUUUGGCUGAAAUUGGGGGAUUGCAUCUCAUGGACUGUAAUAAUAAUGUGCAAUCUUCCUUGAAAGAAAUCUAUGAGAUGCUUGCAGAUGAAAAGAAGGGUUGCUGUUGGGAGCUUUUCGAAGCUUAUAGGCACUUGAAGUCCCUUGGUUAUAUCGUUGGCCGACACGGUAUUCCAUGGACAAUGAAGGGUGUUAAGAAGGAUGGGAGCAGCAACUCCUGUUCUUCCCAAGUUGAUUUUGACAGCAACAAUGUACAUGAUGAUGGUGAAUCAGAAGAAGAUACAGUUUCCGUCACUAAAAAGCUGGGUGAUUUGCAGAUUAAUGAUGGCUUGAAGCCUGUAUUGGACGCUCACCUUCCUAACAGCAAGUUCAGGAAGACUUCACCUGGUGACCCCAGCUUUCUCCUCUGCAUAUCCAGGUACUCACCUAACUUCCUUCUUUAAAUUCGUUUGAAGCUUCUAAAAGCAUUCUUAAAUCCCGGUCCAGAACUGUCAGAAAGAUGUGCAGAUUAGCUUGAUUCACUUGAAAUCAGCGUUUGAUCGUUUGUGAACCAGCUACGAUUUUACUACCGUCAUUCUACGAUUUCACGACAUGAACAUCGAACUGCUAUUUCUCGUUUAUCUUCAGAGACAGCAUGCCCCCAUCAAGAGCUAAAAUUGAAGCGCUGGAAAAUCAGUGUGGAGGGAUUCCUAUAAAGGUUUGCCAUGUAGAGCAUGGCCGGGUCAGCUUUUUCAGCUUCAAGAAGAUACAACUUCCAAAGCUUCCAUAAACAACUGAACAUGUCCACCCAAUUCUAUGUGAUGAAGUCUGCUAGCUAUGACUAACAAGAACAAUGGAACAUGGUCACUCUUUUGUUUCUUUCGAUUUUGGAGGAGUGUUGUGCAAGUAUUACGCUUUAGAAUGAAAAAGCCUGAUCGUUGUUUUUAUAUAAUCCUACUGUUUAUUUUAUCUCUUUGUCGACAUCUAUUUUCAAGUCGUGAGAUCGAUUUCUACACAGAUUAGAAGAUAUAAAAGAGUUUUUUGGCCACUUUAUGGACAACUCUAUUAACACCACGACGCACCACCUGUAGCCAAAGACAAGCCGCCAAGAACGCUAGAACUUUUGCAAAAAUAACUUCACCUAUCACACACCUCUGGGACAAACGAGAAAGAACAUAAGAUAUUCAAAUACCUUCAAAGACAAUUCAAAUCAAUAACAAAAAACCAAAAUCAGACUGAAUACCUAGGAAUUGUAGAAUACCAGACGAGGAUGAACUAGUUAUUUGGAAGCUCAGUUGCCAACAAGUUGUCAGGAUGGCCGAGUGGUCUAAGGCGCCAGACUCAAGUUCUGGUCUUCGAGAGAGGGCGUGGGUUCAAAUCCCACUUCUGACAUUUCCUUUUUGUUCUUUUUUGUUUCAUGCCUCCCCUGCUUCUGCAAUGAAAUUUCCAUCUUUAUCAUCUACUAGUUUCUUUGCUUGAAGAUGAUAAGAUGUUUAGCUGCACUGCAAGCUUAAGUGCUCAGCUUCUGGUUCUAUCCCAAACUGGCAUUUCAUCAAACCGAAAUACCUCGUCCCUUCCUCUACGUACCAUGAUUCAUCUUCAUUUUUCUUAUUUUCUGGAUCUGCUGGUUCAGUUACAAAUACAAUCAAUCAUGGUUCCAGUACUGUCAUGAUUAAUUGUUGGAAUUAAACUAGAAGCAUUUGUUGGAAUCAAACUGAAAGCAUUUGGCAUCGCUGAAUCCGAAACCCUCCAUGGGUGAUUCGGAUAUGAAACUUAACCUAAGCCUGUAAGAGAUCAAAGAAUAUUAUCAAAUACUUGUCUCCGACUCUAAAUCAGCCGCAAGAUCUGAUCACUUCUAAGGUUCACAUUGAAUCAAUCUACAAUCCCAACUCUCAUAAAAUCGGAAGAUUCCUGUUACGUGCAUGAAUUUAUCGAUUUUGAGGUUCGUUCUCUCUUUAGUAUAUGUAAGGAGGACGAAGGAUUUGUUGGAAUCAAACUAAAAUGGUUACAAAGUGCAUAUACUGUUGUACUGCUUUUGUACAAAGUGUUACACUAAGUACGAUAUAAUAAAUAUUAUUUACAUAGUUUGGCUGUCAAAUGUCGAUUUUGUCUUCGUGUUUCUAGCCGUUAGAUCUAAACCACAAUUUCUGAAUGGUUGAUAUUUGUACAAGCUUUGACCAAAUCCAUAAACCAUUCCUCUGACUCUAUAAAGAGCUCAUCAUGAUCAAUCGGAGCAAAUGAAAGAGAGGGAAAAAAAACUUAAGUAGACAGAUCAAUGGCCGAGAAGAAGAUUUCGUCAAGGGUAACCCUACGGCCCUUCAGAUUAUCGGACGCCGACGACAUGUGGAGCUACCUGACGACCAACCGCGGGGAGAUGACACGUUACACGUCGUUACCGUGGAAGGAGGGUAUGUUCAAGUCAAAGGAAGAUGUGGAGUCGUACAUACAGAAAUUCUGCAUCCCACAGCGUUACUGCCGGUCGAUUUGCAUCGACGACAGCGGCCGGUCGGUGGGGAUGGUGUUAAUCACCCCUGGAAUCGGAAGUAGUAGUGGAUCAUCAUCAUCAUCAUCAUCAUCAUCAUCAUCAUCAUCAUCAUCAUGGCGGAGGGGGAAUAUUGGAGUGCUAGUGUCGCAGGAGCAUUGGUCGAAGGGAGCGUGUACGAGAGCUAUGGAGAUCGCUGCGGUGGAUGGGUUCCGAGCUAUUCCGGAGAUGGUACGGCUAGAUGUAUUGGCGGAUGUGGAGAACAAAGGGGCGAUCAAGUCUGCGGAAAGAGCCGGGUUUCAAAGGGAAGGACUGUUGAGGAAGUUUUUGUUUCAUAAUGGUGAAGAUAGGGAUAUUGUUGUGUAUAGCAUGUUGGUUCAUGAUCCAAGCCGUCUUGCUUUGGUUAGUAAGUUCCGCACCACCUCCGCCGCCGCCACCAUCACCUUGAAGCUUUGAUAAGGUUUUGUUCGGCAUCCAGUAGGAAGUGUCCAUCUUAUUUUUACGAUCAUAAACUUAUAACCGUUUAAUUUAUAAUAAAAUUAAUUAUAAUCUGAUAAAAUUUAUCUCAUCAAACUAGUUUUUAAACUUUUUACACCAAUUUAUAUCGUAUUUCCUAUUACAAAAUGCGAAUUAUUUCUAAUUAUAAUUAAGAUUCUACAUCUACUUACACUAUUUUUUCCACUAUGACCAACCUAUGGCCAACCUAACUAAAUGCCAUAUAUGCAUGCAUGCUAAGCAACCACCGCAAACAUGCACAGUUCCACAUGGAUUCUUUCUAGUACUAUGAUCUUGCACAUGAAUUUAAUUAGGUGGCAACUUUGUUUCCAUGCAUAGAUAUAUUUAGGUGGCAACAAAUAAAUGCAGGGGAAGUCUAAGAACCAUAAUGGUAAAUUGGUUAAUAUAUAUACAGGUGGCAGCAGGUGGCCAAAACGUUUAGUCUCAUCAUUUUAUGGAGAGCUCUGUUGACGACACGUCGGACUACUUGCACCUACAAAUUCGAACACGCCGCCAAAACAAACAAGAUAUUCCGCCGCCCCUGCACCACCAUCAACCUCUUCUCAGCUUUAGCCAUAAAAGGAAUAUCAAAAUCCCUCCACAUCUCCCUCGGCACUCUCCUUCGAAAACUCAAUCAUCGAAUCCAGUCACGUUUCCAGAUAACAGGAAUGCGCCGACAAACCGAGACUAACCCUUAUCGCAGUAUCCAUUGUUGACAAUAGAAGCCUGCUGUAUGGGCUCUGGUUUUAUGUGUACAUGUUUGCUUAUUAUAGUGCAGGAUUUAUGACCCGCAUAAAGGAAGCCUGGUCCAAGUCCGUAGUCUGAGCCCAGCCGACAACUGCCGACGCGUGUCUAACACUUACCUUAAAAUCAUCAGCUCAUCGCAAGAGGCAGCUACUGAUCGGAAAAUCUCUCCUCCUCUAUGACGAGAAAUCAGGCGAACAUGCAAGGAAAGAAGGAAGGUUCAUCUCUCGGAUUAUUCGUCAGCAAGGGAAUCUAAUGGUGAUAAAUAGAGGCUGCGACCAUCUCCAAAAAGGUGGUGAAGGAAACUCAACCAGGCUCAAGGGCACAAUCAGGAGAAGGAUCGUGCGAUUGGAGUUAAAGCUUUGGAUCAAGCAACCGCUGCUGAAGUUCUGCUGGGGCCUUUGAAGAUAGCUGGAGCUUAACUGGAUUAACGGUGACUUACUUGUCAAAGACCUAAAGUGUUUCAGGUUGUAAAGUCGCCAACCCUGUCAAAUUUGUGAUUAUGUUAAUUUUGUAUUCAGAUAUCAUUGAUUGAGUACUGAAAGGCUUGCAUGCUAGAUUAUUGACCAUAAAGUGAUCAAAGCUACAUUUAGCUGUAACUACUGUUUCUCUGCACAUCAGUAACUUUCCAGAGCAAGUCCCAGUUGUUUCCUUGAACUUAAUAAUUUGUAAUUGUUCUUCCAGAUUCGAUAAAUUUGUCUCAGCUAUAAGGAUCAGUUUACAACAUUCAUGUCUCCCAAUUCAAACACCCGAUUCUCCUUCUCCACCUUGUAAUAGAAAAUAUGGAUCUCAGUACCAAUAGUACAUUGGUCGACGAAGAUUUCGAAAGAAAAACUACGCACUGUGGAUGAUUACUGAGAGGUGAAAGUGGGUUUGGUUUGAUUUUAGUUAGCUAAAAUGGCAAUGGAGGGUGUUAUGAUCAUCCAUCCAUUAAUUACAACACAUCAAAAUAAAAAAGUUGUAGGUUCAGAGAUUACUUGGCCAGACUCAAAUAUCAGUAUGAAAACAAAUAAAUAAUCAAGACUUUAUAUUUACGAGAUUUAAGUAGAAUGGUCAUUGGGUUAUUUGUAAUAUAUUUAUUAAAAAAUCCAAAAAGAAAAGAAAUUGGACGGUUCAGAUACGUCUGCAUAAUAUGCGGCCCAGAUUUGAUCCAAAAAGUGGGAGCACGGUGGCCUAUAAAUAGAUUAAUUCUUGGUAAACAUUAAUACGAGUAGCAAAGACGAUAGUAAUAUGGCGCCAUCUCAUUUGCGUUUCUUACUACUUGCACUGGUUCUGGUAUGCUCCUCCUCAAUUUAUCAUUUCUGCAUAUGCCAGCAAGUUGGAUACUCUAUACUUAUAUGAUCGUCUUUGAUGAUGUAUAUGCAGUUGGGAGCUGGUUGUUGCAGUGUCAAUGGAAUUAGGAAAGACCCAAUAGGAGAUUACUGGAGAUCUGUGAUGAAAGAUGAGCCUAUGCCUAAAGCAAUCCAAUCCCUACUACUUCCUGCUGCAAAUUCUGAUCAUCAACACCCUGCUGUCCAUUAUGAUACUGAUCACAACUUCAAAAACCCUGAUCAGUCACAACCUGAUGAACACAUCUUCGAGUACUAUAGCAAAGAUGAUGCCCUGCCAUCCAACAAAUUCGCAAAGGGGAUUGGAUCGCGACCUGAUGAAGCCCUCUUGUUCUAUAGCAAAGAUGAUGCCCUGCCAUCCAACAAAUUCGCAAAGGGGAUUGGAUCGCGACCUGAUGAAGCCCUCUUGUUCUAUAGCAAAGAUGAUGCCCUGCCAUCCAACAAAUUCGCAAAGGGGAUUGGAUCGCGACCUGAUGAAGCCCUCUUGUUCUAUAGCAAAGAUGAUGCCCUGCCAUCCAACAAAUUCGCAAAGGGGAUUGGAUCGCGACCUGAUGAAGCCCUCUUGUUCUAUAGCAAAGAUGAUGCCCCGCCAUCCAACAAAUUCGCAAAGGGGAUUGGAUCGCGACCUGAUGAAGCCCUCUUGUUCUAUAGCAAAUGAACCACGCUAGUUAUGAUAAUUGUACCUUCGAUCAUCUUUAAUAAUCUGUUAAGUAUUUGAAUAAAGGAAACCGUUGAUCGAUUACUAUAGUAUUUUCAUGAGUUUCUAUAAAAUAUGGUCUUUUUUAGCGACCGAACAUGCUCGUACAAUAACUCACACUCAUUUGAUUUUUUUCCAUUUUUUUUAUUCUGAAACUACUCUCAUUCAAGUCAAUUCGUUUGACUCAUUAUUAAUUGACGGAUGAAAGUUGGCCCAAAAUGACCUGAUCCAACGGUUAAGAUAUGUCGGAUCACCUUUCGGAUCAAUAACCGCGUUGAUCUAGUGGGUGUACCAUGUUGGUGGAAAUUCAAUCAACAAACUACAAAACGUUGCAGUAUUACUAAUUAAGUUGCUGAACUGCGUUUUGAACUUACCGAAUCCGUUUCCUAGUCUAACUGCUAGUUUUUUACUAACGAAACUCCAGAAAUCAGACCCUUCUCAGUUUGUUGAGAAGAUGACCUGAUUUCCAGGAAUGGAUUCUUCCCACGAAUCAAAUCUGUUGGAGAUGAUGAUGAUCACAUGGAGAGAGGGCGGUUGCGAUGGAGAGCUUCGAAAGGCUUAUUGCUAUAAAUAUAGCAAGUUAGCAGCUCAAGCAUUAUCAUCGCAAAUCAUACCUUCCUCAUCUCUCUGUUUACUGAAUCUCUGUUCUUUAGAUUAGUUUCCAACUCUCGAGCUAUUAUACCACGGUUAGAGAGGAUACUGCGAUUAUCUUCAGUUGCAAAGGGUAUUUCAUAUAUUCGUAAAUUCUGACAAUGCUUCGAUCAUACAUGGUCACAGUCGAGGUUUGUAUGUAUCUAGUUAUGGUUUUUAAUAAAGUAAUUAAGAAAAUUAAUGCAAUUAAUUACCCACGAUUGUUGUGUUCAUCGAUCGGCAGAUUUUGUUUGAAUUCUUAGUUCUUGCAACCACAAGACAGAAUCGUGUGUUUGCAUGGUAAGCAACCACCGCAAACAUGCACAACGUCCACACGGACUGUUUCCAGUAUAUAUGGCCAUGCAUGCAUGGGUUUACGUGGCAAAAAAUUGAUGCAUGGAUGGAAACAACAUAAUCAUAUCAUAUACAAAAGUGUCAAUUCCGGCCAUUUUUAUUUUGACAAAGAUGUGAGUUUAUUUAUAAAUAGAACAAGAUAUAAUACUGAUUAUAAAUGAUAUAAUUGAAAACUAUCCGUCCCAUUCAAGUCAAUUCGUUUGAGGAUUACGAUUUAGAAUUUAGGGCGUAAGGAAUUUAUAAAUUUGAAAUUUAAACUUUCAAAAUAUGAAUUUUUUAAUAUAGAGGAUACGAAUACAUCCAAAAUAAUCGGAACGUUCAGCAUAUAAAGAGAACAGGAAGGAACGCUGUGAAUUUGAGAAAGAGAACAUUAAGCUAAUAAGAGAUGGGUAAAGAAAGCUCCCUCAAGUUGUUGGGUUUACUCUUCAUCCUCUUUGUGGUAAUGAAUGAAUUGAGUCAAGAUCUCUUCAUAUCAUAAUUUAAUUUUGUUUAAAAGAAUGCUCGUGAUCAACUCUGUUUUUGCAAAUCCAGCUCCUCCAUUUGGUGGUGGCUGUAGAUGGAGGAAGAGACUUGCAGGGGAGCACUCAACAUCUGCAGCAUCAGCAUCAUAUGAUGAUGAUGAUGAGUCCAGCCUCAAACGUGUUCUUCAGGCUAAAAGACCUGAAACAAGGAUCCCAAAUGGAAGUCUACUUCCCCCGAAAAAACAAAGACCCGUCGAAAACCCCACAUUUCCUCACCAGGGAAGAAGCAGAUUCAAUCCCAUUCUCAUCCAAACACCUCCCUUACCUUGUCGAACUCUUCUCGUACGAGCCGGGCUCCACAGAGGCCUCUGCCGUGGCAGAGGCCCUCGCGACUUGCGAGACCAAAGCGGUCAAGGGAGAGGCCAAGCUAUGUGCCACCUCGUUGGAAUCGAUGCUCGACUUUGCUCAGCAGACGCUUGGGGGGGAGCAGCAGAAGCUCAAAGUGCUGACCACCACCCACUUGAUAAGAAGUAGUAGUGAAGGAACCACCACCCAGCAGCUUGUGCAGAAGUACACCAUUGUCGGUGAGCCGGAGGAACUGAAGGCGGCUACAAGGCAGGUGGCAUGUCACACCAUGGCAUACCCUUAUGCGCUUUUCUAUUGCCAUAGCCAGCUGUUCACUGAGAACAAAGUUUUCAUGGUUUCAUUGGAAAAUACUGACAAUGGAGACAGAGUUGAUGCUCUUGCAAUGUGUCACAUGGACACCUCUCAAUGGGCCAAAGGACAUAUCUUGUUUAAGGUGCUUGGUGUUGAGCCUGGACAAACUGAAGUCUGCCAUUUCUUCCCUGAAGAUCAUCUCGUUUUCGUUCCCGCAGCCAGAAACCAUUAACUCAAAGUCAUCCAUCUGAUGAAUUGUAAUAAGAUAGAUCGAGUUGUUGUUUUCUCAAUAUGUACCUUAAUUAGUUUGUGUUUACUUUGUAAGCUCCAGAAUGUGGGUAGCAAAUAAAAAUAAAUGCAUCCGUUUGUGCUAUAAAUUAAUCAUUCCAAUGGUUACACGAUUUAAUAACUACUAGAUUGUGUGUCGCACCAUAUCGCAAGCCUACUCUUUAAUCUGUACUGGUUUUGCUAUUGGAUUUACAACUCCUUGUAGGUUGUAUAGUGAAUAAAAAGGAAUAAUUAGCCCAGAUUACUUUACAAAACAAGUUAGACAGAAAUGAAACAAACAGUCAGGAUGGCACUCUGUCGGCUAGUCGUGCUUAGUGUUAGAUCCUGCACUUCUUCAUAUAGAAUAAGAUCAUAUCUCUUUGUUACUGGCUGCAAUUCUCAACUCUCACUUACCACUGCCCUCCAUGGAGAGAUGAAAAUAUAAUACACUCCCUUCUCUCCAGGGCCUCAAACAAGGAACAUAAUUGUACAAACCCAAAAGAACGAUUGUCCUAAGAAAUACAUCACUGCUUAAACAUUGCCUUGUUGCUGCCUUUGAUGCAAGUGAAUGUUGAGCAGAGUCGGGAGUUUGCUUACCCUGUCCACGUAACCUCCUCUACCCUGCAGAUUUUUCCUUAACUUGCUAGUUUGAGCUCUGUGAACCCUGAAUCAAGAAGAAAAUGGGGGCAUAAAGCAGAGCACUAAAGUGGAUGAUAGGAAAAAAUGACAUUUGAUGGAAAGCAAAACUACUGCAUUCGGUGAUGUACGUGUUCUAGAUCAUCACUAUCUCUCUUGAUGACCUCAGGACGAAGCAGAACAAAAACAAGUGCAGAGAGGUAUAAAACAAAGGGCAUUUGAUUGCAGGAGCUCUACAUUUCACGAAUUCUGUAAGGUUUUGGGAUGGAAACGGAAGUUUACAAAUUUAAAAAAACCCAUAGAGCAUCAGCAACACUCUAAUUCAAACAUCGGAGCCAGCCAAUUAACAACAAUCCAUAGUAAUUCCAAUCUUCUGUUUUGAUUAACAAUAAACGAAAAUUACAAACCUAACUUCUGGGAGUUUUUAAAUCUCAACAAGUACCAGAGGAGGACUCAAUUCGCUGGUUUGGGUACCACUUUGGCGGAAUCGCGAACUCCAUGUUGCUUCUUGAUCGAGUUCCUCUCGAUCUCUUUCCACUUGUUGAUGGCGAAAGUCAAGAGUACUAGCAACAUAUGAUGAUGAUGGAUAUAUAGCAAUUUUUUAUUUUCUUUCAACGUGGGAGAUUAUAAUAGGGCUCUACUUACCUCCGGCGCCGGCGAAAUACAGAACACGAACGAUCUUCGGCCCAGGGGGGCCUGCUACCUCUUCCAUAAACGCUGAAUCGCUGAACUCAACGCUGAACCGUUGACCGUAUCAGGUGGGUCUGGCAGUGAUCUCAGCUGAGCUGAGUGGAAUAAGAACGCUAGAUGAACCACUAUGCAAUACAUCAGCUUCAGGGUUUCCAAAUUGGAAAGAUAAGCAAAACCUUCACCACCAAACCCAUCAAAGUACGAUAAUUCCUUCUUCCCCUGCAUCUUUUUCAUUCAUCGCCAUUGAAGCAGUACAGCAACUUCCGGGCUUGGAAAAUCGUAGUGGGCCAAUCACUGAAAGCCCAAUCUUGUUCUCUAGAACAUUAAGUCCACGAAUCCUUAAUUCUAUACAGAACUUGCCGUUUCUUCUUCUUACUAUACUAGACUACUGACGGAACGAUUGACCACUGCAGAGCAACUAGGGAUUUCGGCCAAGAUUUCUAACUCGUGGGGCGUCGUCACCAGCUCAGCAACUAAGGUUUCUUAUUUCUCGCAACUCCGUAAGCUCUGUCAAUUCAACCCUGAAACUUUUGCUUCCCUUUACAGUUCAAUUCUCAUCUUCUAGUCACUUGCUCUGUAUAAAUUGAACCAUGGGUGUUUAUCUUCAUCUGUGUAGAUUACAACGUUUACUGGACUGGUUGCAAUAAUUGUUUCAAUAUAUAUUUUGAUGACCAUUUGAAUUGUAAUGCUUGGUCUAUUUUUGUUUUGCUUAGCUUAACAAACAGGAUAGGAUACAUAUCGUCUGGCUAGGUAUGAAUUUUUUCUACAUUUUGGUUGAUAUCUACAUAGAUACCGGUCUGGUAGUAGGAUUGAAAAGAAUACGUGGCUGAAGUAAUGGAUUCUGUAGGCGGGGGUUUUGUUUGUAACUGGUGAUUGGUCAAUGAUCCUAUAUUCUUGUGUUUUUGGUGUUGUAGGGACUGGAUUUGGUAUAUAAGAAGAUAUAUCAGUAGCACUACACUGUCAAAACACAUUGUUCAAGUUUAAGCCAGGGUUGGGGGUGUUCAUGGAUUGAUUUGUAGAGUUCUCUUCCAGUGGCUAUUAACUACUACUCGAAGCUGAAUCUCUCAAUCUUUCAUCGUCGUGCCCUUUGCUCGACGGUCUUGAAUCCAAGGUAAAGCUUUGUUACAGACUUCCGGUGAAUUCCGAUCCAUAUGGCUUGGAUGUUAUGAGUUUUCUGUAACUGGGUUUGGUUUGUUUCUUGGGAAUCAUCAUCGUUUGUCAUUGUCUUUUUGGUUUGAACUUCCUGUUGGAUGUGGAGAAUCGGUCUUUCUAAUUCUUUGUUGCUUAACUGGCAACUGAAGAAAUUAGACAACAAGGAUGAAACGGUUUGUCAUGAAUUAGGGGAAUUUAUUUUGUGUCGUCGGAUCCAGCUUCUAGGGAGUGUUUGAAUGCUUUGUUUAUAGGCAGCACUUUCAUCUUUGUAGGAGCCUUGUUAUGUCAUAUUUCUGAAUUUCUCCGCAGCUCUUGAGCUUAAUCCUUUUGGAUCGCAUUUGUGUACUUCUUGUACACUUUAUAAUGAAGUCUCUGUGCUCGCUUUUCAUCAUUACGAGUUCAUUUUUUCUUUGGUAUUGUAUUCAGCUUUGGUUUUGGCCAUGUUUUGAGUUGGCUAAGAUUGGAUUCGUGUUUUCUGCAGUUGUCGUAAAUUCUGUGAAAUGGCUGAGGAGAGUGGGAGAAAAUUGACGAGAAGGGACAGUCUUUUGGAAAUUGAGGCAAAUGCUAGAAAAUGGUGGGACGAGAAAGAUGUUUUCAGAGCUGAGCCCGGUGAAAGGCUUCCUGAACCAGGGGAGAAGUUCUUUGGAAACUUUCCAUUCCCAUACAUGAAUGGGUUUUUGCAUCUUGGACAUGCAUUCUCUCUUUCGAAACUGGAGUUUGCUGCAGCUUAUCAUAGAUUGAAGGGUGCCAAUGUUCUUCUUCCGUUUGGCUUCCACUGCACUGGCAUGCCCAUAAAGGCUUCUGCUGAUAAGCUUCGACGCGAAAUUCAACAAUUUGGUAACCCACCUGUAUUCCCUGGUCCAUCUGAGGAGCGAGAAGAACCGAAACCGGAGCAAGGGGAUGAAAUGGCAUCUGGUCAACCUAGUAAGUUUAAGGGCAAGAAGUCCAAGGCUGCAUCUAAAUCCGGUGGACAAGUGUUCCAGUGGGAGAUCAUGCGCAGUUUUGGGCUCUCUGAUAGCGAGAUUGCCAAGUUUCAGGACCCAUACCAGUGGCUAAGGUUUUUCCCACCAUUGGCAAUGGAGGAUCUCAAGGCUUUUGGACUUGGUUGUGACUGGAGGCGCUCUUUUGUGACCACUGAUAUCAACCCAUAUUUUGAUUCCUUUGUGCAGUGGCAGAUGAGGAAGCUGUAUGCUAUGGGUAAGAUUGUGAAGGAUGUUAGAUACACAAUCUACUCCCCCUUAGUUGGUCAACCGNNNNNNNNNNNNNNNNNNNNNNNNNNNNNNNNNNNNNNNNNNNNNNNNNNNNNNNNNNNNNNNNNNNNNNNNNNNNNNNNNNNNNNNNNNNNNNNNNNNNNNNNNNNNNNNNNNNNNNNNNNNNNNNNNNNNNNNNNNNNNNNNNNNNNNNNNNNNNNNNNNNNNNNNNNNNNNNNNNNNNNNNNNNNNNNNNNNNNNNNNNNNNNNNNNNNNNNNNNNNNNNNNNNNNNNNNNNNNNNNNNNNNNNNNNNNNNNNNNNNNNNNNNNNNNNNNNNNNNNNNNNNNNNNNNNNNNNNNNNNNNNNNNNNNNNNNNNNNNNNNNNNNNNNNNNNNNNNNNNNNNNNNNNNNNNNNNNNNNNNNNNNNNNNNNNNNNNNNNNNNNNNNNNNNNNNNNNNNNNNNNNNNNNNNNNNNNNNNNNNNNNNNNNNNNNNNNNNNNNNNNNNNNNNNNNNNNNNNNNNNNNNNNNNNNNNNNNNNNNNNNNNNNNNNNNNNNNNNNNNNNNNNNNNNNNNNNNNNNNNNNNNNNNNNNNNNNNNNNNNNNNNNNNNNNNNNNNNNNNNNNNNNNNNNNNNNNNNNNNNNNNNNNNNNNNNNNNNNNNNNNNNNNNNNNNNNNNNNNNNNNNNNNNNNNNNNNNNNNNNNNNNNNNNNNNNNNNNNNNNNNNNNNNNNNNNNNNNNNNNNNNNNNNNNNNNNNNNNNNNNNNNNNNNNNNNNNNNNNNNNNNNNNNNNNNNNNNNNNNNNNNNNNNNNNNNNNNNNNNNNNNNNNNNNNNNNNNNNNNNNNNNNNNNNNNNNNNNNNNNNNNNNNNNNNNNNNNNNNNNNNNNNNNNNNNNNNNNNNNNNNNNNNNNNNNNNNNNNNNNNNNNNNNNNNNNNNNNNNNNNNNNNNNNNNNNNNNNNNNNNNNNNNNNNNNNNNNNNNNNNNNNNNNNNNNNNNNNNNNNNNNNNNNNNNNNNNNNNNNNNNNNNNNNNNNNNNNNNNNNNNNNNNNNNNNNNNNNNNNNNNNNNNNNNNNNNNNNNNNNNNNNNNNNNNNNNNNNNNNNNNNNNNNNNNNNNNNNNNNNNNNNNNNNNNNNNNNNNNNNNNNNNNNNNNNNNNNNNNNNNNNNNNNNNNNNNNNNNNNNNNNNNNNNNNNNNNNNNNNNNNNNNNNNNNNNNNNNNNNNNNNNNNNNNNNNNNNNNNNNNNNNNNNNNNNNNNNNNNNNNNNNNNNNNNNNNNNNNNNNNNNNNNNNNNNNNNNNNNNNNNNNNNNNNNNNNNNNNNNNNNNNNNNNNNNNNNNNNNNNNNNNNNNNNNNNNNNNNNNNNNNNNNNNNNNNNNNNNNNNNNNNNNNNNNNNNNNNNNNNNNNNNNNNNNNNNNNNNNNNNNNNNNNNNNNNNNNNNNNNNNNNNNNNNNNNNNNNNNNNNNNNNNNNNNNNNNNNNNNNNNNNNNNNNNNNNNNNNNNNNNNNNNNNNNNNNNNNNNNNNNNNNNNNNNNNNNNNNNNNNNNNNNNNNNNNNNNNNNNNNNNNNNNNNNNNNNNNNNNNNNNNNNNNNNNNNNNNNNNNNNNNNNNNNNNNNNNGUCCAAGCUGCAGAAUCCACUCUGAGGACUGGUCCUCCAUCAACUUAUGCCGAUAAGGUGUUUGAGAAUGAGAUAAACAUUGCAGUUAAGAUGACUGAGCAGAAUUACAGUGAUUGUAUGUUUAGAGAGGCAUUGAAGACCGGAUUUUACGAUCUUCAGACAGCCAGAGACGAGUAUAGAUUCUCAUGUGGUAGCGGUGGCAUGAACCGUGACCUAGUUUUGCGGUUUAUGGAUGUACAGACUCGUCUCAUCACUCCUAUUUGUCCACACUAUGGAGGACACGCAUGGAGGGGGCUUUUAAAGAAGGAAGGGGAUGCGGUUAAAGCUGAUAGCGAGACUCGAACUUUUGCACCCAAUGAGGAGAUAUUAAAGGCGUUGCAGGAGAGUCCACUAGGGCAAGCUGGGAACUUUAAGCAAGUCCAGAAGCAGUACAUGCCAUUCUUGAGAUUCAAAAAGGAUGAAGCGGUUGCGAUUGGCGCUCAGGCAUUGGAUCUGAAGCUACCGUUCGGGGAGAUUGACGUCCUGAAGGAGAACCUGGAGUUGAUCAAGAGACAACUCGGACUUGAAGAGGUCGAAGUCAUGUCUGCAUCGGUUCCCAAUCACCGUGCUCGAGCUGGCUCCCUCGCCAACCUCUUGACUCAGAAUCCCCCAUCACCUGGAAACCCCACGGCUAUCUUCUUGACCAGGUCAGUCAAAACCCCAAUUCGCACCGAAUGAUGGCAGCUACCCUUUAUUCUUUAUCAGUCUCGAUUUCAGAACUUGUGCAUGAUUUCUCAUUGUUUUCUAUUCAUAGGUAGGUAGUGAAUUCCAGGGAAGUGUCACAAGGGAGAAAGACAGAACCGUUUGCUUUUGAAAGAGGAGAAGACGUUUAAUGUUUACUUUGUUUUUGUUGAUGUUCUGGAUUCAAAUGAUUCUGUUUUUGGUCUGAACUUCCUUGGAAUGGUUUUGACGACGUUUGUUUCCGGGCACUGUAACCCAACCACAUUUCUUGCAUGUUAACAGAAUCUGAGAAGAGUAAUUGUCAAGAGAGUUUUUUAAUAUGGUGUGUGUCUGUGGUCUGUUUUGUGCUGUGUCGGAGUUGUCUACCGAACUCAGAUAGUGCAUUUGUCUGUCAAUCCUUUAAAAUCGGAGUAACUGUAGAUAAUGCAUUUGUCAUAACACAAAAGUUUCAGCGUCUCUCGGUUGGUCGAAGCUGUGUUUUUGCUGCAAAUUGCAAGGGCUUGGCGCACCCCACCAAUACCCAGUUUAAUGUUUGUGUUGUUUCUAUUUGCUCCCGAAUCAAUAGCCAGUUCAGUAAUUGCGUUUGUUUUACUUCUCCUGAAUUAAGCACAUCAAUGGCAUAACGAAAGGUCAUUCAUCCUUUGGCUGCAUCAUAUGAAAACAACUACAACUUCUCCUUUCGAAAAAUUUCGCAGCCUUGCAGUACAUAGCGAACAAUUCUUUCACAUUUUACUAGAGAAUACCUUGUGUGAAUGCUGCUCUAUAGAGGCAUACUGUUCUAGACGUCAGCGGCCUACUUUGUUUGUUGUGUAUGUAACCCGGCCACUGUUGGUACAAACGUACACUUGAGUUUUUGUCCUCAGGCUGUAUAGACAUCUCGGGAUUGGAGAAUGCCAUUAUUCAUGAUAAUCAAAGUCGAUAGUUUUUAUCGAAUGUUAUGAACUCGGGUGAUGUGUACCUUUUUUCAAGGACUCAAUCUUAGGUGCUAGGAUAUUGCACUGCUGGGUCGUUGAGAAACUUUCACCUUUAAUCUCCAGUUUAAUGUAUACAGACAAGGCAAGUCUGAAUGGGCCAGUCGGUAUAUACCGCAUUGGAGAAUGGGUCAGUGGCUGAUCAAGAAGAGUCAUGGCCUGGAUCAGUGACCUCCAUUGCACGUACUGGAGGAGUGCUAUUCUAAGGUCUUCCCAUAGAGGAAGAGCCUACGUCAUAAUUUGUUGUAGCGGAGGCGUGCGUUCGCACUGCCCGUACCCAGUUUCUCAGUUCCAGCCCGGAUGAACACGAUACAAACCCAGAUUAUUUGUGCUGAUUUUUUAUGUGAUCAAAUUUUGUCUGACAUAAAGAGGGUGGCAGUAGUAACUUGUAUACCACAUUUCGGAAAUGAUAAUAGGGCAUGCUCCCUGGGCUAUGCUGGACCCUAUCAAAUGCAUCAACUCAUGCAGCCUUGCAGUGAGUACAUAGAGAAUUAUUCUUUCGCCUUUUACUAUAGAAUACUAUGUAUGCGCGUACACUGCUCAAUAGAGGCAUACGUGUAUUUUUUGAGGGCUUGUUCAUUAACUGGAUCAGCCCAACAUUAUUAAUGCGAAAUAUUUUGUUCUAGCAUCCUGCUAAGAUACUCGCAUUGUGCUGCAUUUGUUUGUCCUCACUUUUGUCGAAAAUUGCUAUAGACUCUAGUUACGGGUGGACUGCAACAGCUCUUCCGUCUGAUAAGACUGUUUCUGAGCUAUGUCCCUACUGCAUUCCCUACAAUGACUUGCCAGUAAGGUGACUUUGAGUUCGUUACGGAAGAUAUAAUUGUCGUUAUGGAAUGGCAGUUGUUCCUUACGUAACGAACUCAAAGUCACCUUACUUUGAGUUAAGACAAGUCAUUGUAGGGAAUGUCUUUCUCUGCUUGGAGAUUUAAACAUGUUAACUUACAACUACUCAUACUGCAAACGACAAUCUCCAAACUCCCUUUCAGGAACUGACUAAGAAUACAGAAAAAACUCUUAACAUUCUGAAAUUCUGUUAACAACGCAGAAAGUGAAUAACAAAUAAUACAGCAUCAUCCACCAAGUUUACCUCUGUUCGGAUACCUUACCAGGAUGAUGAGGAAAAUACAGUGGAGUGCCUAGGGAAUCAAUGUCUGUGUUGUUUCAGCUGAGUCUCCCACCGCCGAAAAGCUUCAAGAACGGCGAAUAAACUAGUGCAAACACAACUUGCAAAGACAUCUUUUUCGUUUGAAGCACUUGUUACGUACAAACCAGAACUCCAAAUUGAAGGAGACUUGAUGUGGUUGUAAAAGACUGCGGAGUUAAAUAUUUUUUCGAGAUGAUGUAGAAAUAACUGUGAUUUGCAGAACACGAAACGGAGAACCAAGAAAAUAAACAAAUGUUCAUGCUUUGGUUAUGAAGAUCAGCACACUAGCUGUCUAUAGUCAUUGCAGAAAUAAACAAGCUGUAAAAGGGAAUACCUUAUUAAACUUUAUUGUCUCAGUUAAUACUUACAUAUGACUAGACAAGAUACAUUCUGCACUUCUACACAUAGAAUUAGACCCUAUUUAUCUCUCUCUGUGUUAAUAAUCAAAUCUUCUGCUUACAUUCUGAUACUGCCUGCAAUUCUUAAAUCUCACUUAACCACUGCCCUCCAUGGAGAUGAAAAUAGAAUUCAUUCCCUUCUCUUCAGGGCCUCAAACAACAGUGGCAAAUGAACAUAAUAAUUGUACACCCCCAACAGAAACCAGACACAAUGGUGAAUGAAUGAUCAUCCUUCAAGUAGAUGGACUGGCUAAAAUGAGCUAAUGGAGGGAGCUGCUAUUUCAUCAGAUCUAGGAACACGAAACCGUUCCACAAGCUGUGCAGAAGCAUGGGCGGCAGCAAGUUCCUCGACCUUGCAAAAAUGACGCCCAUAACCACGCCGAUGAAUAUAAGGGGUAGCAUCCUCUGUACAUUGAAAUGAGCAAGCGCAAAGGCGACCGAGCUCACCAAGAUAGCACACCAUACCGGCAUGUAUUUCGUCAAGGACGGCAGGAGGAAGCCCCGGAAGACGAUUUCCUCCAGACCUUGCAAAAACAACGCCCAUAACCACGCCGAGGAAUAUAAGGGGUAGCAUCCUCUGUACAUUGAAAUGAGCAAGCGCAAAGGCGACCGAGCUCACCAAGAUAGCACACCAUACCGGCAUGUAUUUCGUCAAGGACGGCAGGAGGAAGCCCCGGAAGACGAUUUCCUCCCAUAACGGUGCGCAAACGGAUACCACCAUUGCGUAAAUAGCCAUCGCCACCGGAUCUCGUGCUGCGAUCGAUUGCUCCACACUCGAGAGCGUCGCGGGUGCGGAGGGAAGAAUGGGCAGUAGGCUGAGAUUGAAUUGCGAGAGCCGGUUGACAAGGGGAAAUGUAAGGCACCCGAGAGCUACAUCGAUCAUCCAGUUCCCUUUUAGGCUGAAUCUAAACCAAUCGGAUGAAAGGGGACGGAACCUUGAAAGGCAACGAAGAAGGAUCGCGAUGCCGGCGAGACCUUCGGUGACAUCGGUUACUAGGCUGAAUAAGGCUUGUCCUCUGAAUGUCAGUGAUUCUUUGUUCAAUCCUGCCAUGUGGGCUGCAAAAGGGACCACCCAGGACCCUAUGAACCAGAAUGAGACAACCCAUAAAAGCAUUACCUGCAUUAAGAUGAAACAUUGUCAUUGACCUCAUGUUACCUGGAUAAGAUGAGUGGAUAAUAUCAAAUAUGUUACCUGGAUUAUGGUAUCUGCACUCCAUGGUACAGUCCAUCGACUUCCAACUGCUUUCCGCACUACACCUACUGCCUGGAAAUGGUGAAUAGUAGUUAGGUUUCCAAUAUCCUACCGGACUUUAACAAUGUGGAGUCAAUGUCCACAACUCCUAUCCUAUUGAAAGCAAUGAAUACCGAACCACAAGCUUUUGAUUCUAAAAUGUGUAGGAAGUAAGAAACACAGGCUCGUGUACUCUUGUACUUCAAUAUCGAAAGGGUGGCUUAACAUUGUUUCUCAAAAGAUACCACACUUUUAAAUAAAAAAGGAACAACUCUCCACAAAAUUAUACAGCCAUAAAUAAGGAGGUUGAUUUCCAUAUUCCUAUGGGAACAGCGAUCUGAUGAAAGCAAAGAAUAUGAAACUGUCAUAAGAUUCGACAAGAAACUGGCGUCUACUCCAUUUUCCUUGGUAAAUUAUUCGACACAAUCAAAAGUCAUCACAGACAUUUCCAUUAAUAGAGACGAACUGUCUCAUACUUGCACGUUGAAAUCACAGCAAGAAGCAGAUCGAUAGCAAUCCUUUCACUAAAGCAGGAAAGCAAAAACCAUCCUACAAAGCUCAACAAGAAAACACACCUUUUUAAAGCUCAAUAUCCAAUCUCUUUCAGCAUGAGUAGACCUAGUAGCAGGAAGUUCAGGUUCUGGCUUCAAAGGCUCUUCAGGAAGAAAGGGCUCAAAGCCAUCAGACUUAGUAGCAGGGGUAAAAUCUUCUUGUCUAAAACACGAAACCCUCCAUCUCUGAAGAAACCAAACAGAGUUAAUCAGGCAAAAACAAAAACCACCUACGUUUUUGCAUAAUCAACGAAAACUAACCAAAUGAGAUACCAAUCAUUAAUCAAUUAGCUUCCAUCAUCGAAUUGAAUGCAAAAAAAGUUAACAACAGAACGGAACCUUAUAGGAAGAUAAAAUUACAUUCUUGUUCAGCUUGGAAUUGGAUUGAAGGAUACUUGGUUUCCUAGCUGAAAGAGACGAGCUUCCAGGGCGGCUAAGAGCAGUAAGCUUCCUGGAAAGUGAAGGAACGAGAAACGGGCGAUGAGAUAAGGAUUGAGAGCAACAGUAGCUCAACAUCUAGGAACACGAAUUAGAAACCCCAAUCAAUCCGCAUCACUAAGGGGAAUUCGAGCUUGAUCGGACGGGGAAAUAAUUUCCGGUAUGAAGAAUCGAACAAAAAGGGAAGGAACGACGAAAGCCCUAAUUGGGGAGAGGUAAAUGGUAGUGGUAUUUGGAGGAAGGAAGGCGGAAGGAUAAAGGCUUAAGGCUGCGUUUGGCAGUUGGAAUUUGAAGUAGGUAGACUGUAAAAACAUAACUUAAAAGCCAUUUUUACAUGUGUAACAUGUUUUAGAUCAUAUAAAAUGAGAAAAACUUUCUUUUUUCUAUCAUGGAUCAUUUGCACAAUGUACCGUUUUUCGGGGACAUUUGACGAGAGUGAUACGUACACUAUUUCGUAAAAACCAAAUGCUAUAAACUUCAAUCAUACUUUACGGGUAGUUUUCGGGGCGAGAAUGAUUGGUUCACUGUCUUGCAAGUUGUAACAACCAAUUGCCUCUUGUGUGAGAUUUUAAUUCGAAAUGCAAGCAUUACGUCGACGUCUUACUAAAUGCUUAAUCACGAAUAAAACAUAAUGUUGUGAUUGAUGACUAAGAAAGAUAUGACAACCCGAAACUAUAUUAGGGAAGAUAACUCUGUGAAUGAAAUUACAGGUCCAACCAUACGGACAAGAGAUGUUGUAUCGGCGGUACUUAAUAGGGGACUAUAAAAGAAGAUGGUGAACACUACGGUGGCACUUAAAUUAGUUUCAUAACGAACUCACGAUUUGUCUACCGAAAAGAAUGAGCAGGAUAAACAUCAGAUGAGCCCUCAUUAAUGAAACCUUUGAUGUUCUUGACAGUAUAUAUGGAUGAAAUAUCCAGUAGUUGUGUGACACAUCUGUCUGAUUCUUCUUCCCAACUUUGCUACUUUGGGAAGCACCAGAAAAUACCCAGUUCAGCUCCCACAAAAAUAAGCCAAGGAAGGAAACAGCGAGACCAAGAUAAGCAAAUUCGCACAGUUUUACAAUGAGAGGCUCACGAGGAGUAAGAAGAGAAACGCCAGGAUAUUAGCAACUGGAUUUGCUGCGUAGAACCCCGACCUCCAGCCCUUUAUAAACGAGAACGUCAAACCUAAUAUAAUCACUACCUGCAUUAAUGGAGAGGCCUCAUUUGUUAAAAGCUCAGAGUAUGAUUCUCAAAAGUACACAUAAUUGCACAGAAGCUAAAGAGACUGUAAGUUCGUAAUAUAUAAACUAUUGAAUAGAAGAAAAACUUAGAAAGGCUCCAUGAAAGUUUCAGCAGAUUUCUCAGGUAAAAUCUUGUUACUUUUAUAUUGCAACAUUGCAGGGAAGAAAAUAUAUGAAGCAGAGACGACCUUAUGAUGAUCCUUGUGCCGUGGUACUCGUAUUGCUAACAAAGGACAAUAGUUUCGAAGACAACAAACUAACACCAAUGCAGUUCUGUAAUCUUAUUCAUUUCUGAAGAACAUCCAAGACUUCCCAUCUCCCAUUUUCUAGUACACAAUUCAUUUGAUAACUGAGUGGAAAAUCUUUACCUGGAAAAACAUAUAUAGAGCCCAUUCCUCAGUAAGUAGAAGUAUAAUUAUUUCCCGUACCAAGUCCACUGCCUGGAAAUGGAGUUAUAGUAGUUAGGUUUCCAUAACUUCAUGAAAAGAAUAGAGACUGAUGUCCACAACUCCUAUCUUACUGAAAACAGCGAAUACCGAAUUGCAAGCUCUUGAUUCUCAUGUGUAGAAAGGAACAAACAUAGAUUCAUGUAGUCCAAUAGUCUCAUAAUGCAAUCACAAUGAGAAGCCGUUUCAUAGCAAUCCUUCACUACAUCAGCAAGCAAAACCUUCCAUCAACUCAACAUAAACACUUACACACCUGUUGAAAUUUCAGCAUCCAACCCUUCUUAGGAUUAGUGGAACUAGUAACUUCAGGUUCUGGCUUCAAUGGCUCGUCGGGAAGCAAGUUCUCAACACCAUCGGAGUUGGGACUUGCAGGGGGGAAAGCUGCUUGGCUAGAACAAGAAACCCUCCAUUUCUGAAAGCAUCAGACCAAACAAACUAAUCAGGCAAACCUGCCUACGUCUGAAUCAUCAUAGAAAGUUAUAAGAUGAGAUAACAGUCACCAAUCAUUUCCCCCCAUUACCCACAAACCAUCAAUCCAGUAACUUAAACCGAGUGAGGUGAAUCUUCUAACUAAGUGAAGUGAUUAAUCAGCUUGCAUCAUCUAAUUGACAGUAAAAACAGCUAAAAGAACGGAACUUUCGUAAAGAUAAGAUUACAUUCUUGUGAAGCUUGGAACUGGGUUGGAGGAUCGCCGGAUUCCUAGCUGCGCUGCAAGGACGGUGCUUAAGAACGGUAAACUGAGUGGAAAAUGAAGGGACGAGAGUCGGGGGAUGAGAGCAGCAGUAGCUCAACAUUUGGGAACACGAACAGAAAUCCCCUAGUAGCUGUUACAGGAAUCGGAUUGAAGUGAACAAAGGGAAGCCCUAAUCGGGAGAUGUAAUGUAACGGUGGUGGAAUGGAUAAACACUUGAGGCCGCUUUUUGCAGUUCCUGGUAAUUUCAAAUUUGUUGGAUAUAGUUGUCAAAACUGGUUAAUUCGAUAUAACCAAUCAGCUAACCGGUUUGGUAAAUUGGUUAAAUCAAUAUAGCUAAUAAGUAAUAUAAAAUUUAAAAUUUAAAAAAUCUUUUGUUUGUGAAGGAUAAAAUUAUUUUUCCGGGUAAAGACAUCCACAAGAGCAAUUCUAUUGGACCGACUAAGCCAUUAAAAACAAAUUAACCAAAAAAAUUAAGUAUUUAAAUCAACUUAAUCACACUGAUUAAUUCAAAUUGACCGAACGAAACCAAUUAAAAUGGUUACCUUGAUAACCAGUCUAGUUUGAAAGCCGCAUAAAAAAGAACAUGAAAGUAAACUUUUAUUUGCAUACAUUUAUUUCAAUUAUCCACAGAAAUUUCUGCAGCUUUUUACAUACGACUGUUGCUUCAUUCAACCACUCCAGGACUGAAGUAUGUUCAUCAGCCUCGCGUUUAGGACUAGAAAAGGAAGUAAAUUCACAAAAUUUUACAUUCAGAUUAGAGCCAAAAAAUGAACAGCAUAAACAACAGAUGAGCCCCUUAAUACAUAAACUAUGCCAUUACAAUAAAGCUUCCAUGUUCUUGACAUUAUUUGGAUGAAAAAUCUAGUUGUAUUACACAAUAUCUUUCUGAUUCUUCAAUCCACAGAACCAACUCCUCAUUCCCAACUUUGCAACGCGGGAAGUACCAGAAAAUAAAAACCAGUGGGAGAAGGUUCGAUUUUACAGCGAGUAGUUCAUACCAACCUCGAUCAACGAGGUCUGAGGAAUCGACAGAGUCACAGAAGGAGCUCUGCAGUUCUUCCUCAAGAAAGAGUAGACAAUGUUGACCAGAAACCUCUUCAGGAAAGGCGAGUUCCACUUCGCCUUGCUGUUCGAAUGCCCUAUGACGUAUGCCACCCCGAAGUUCUUAGCAUCCAUCAGCUUCAUCACUUCAUCUUUCACGUACGAGUCCUUGUAGCUCGCGUCCAAUAGCUUCAGCUGGAUUCUACGUCGAUACGUUAGCUUCGGUGCUUCCUGCUCGUCGUACAUGGACUUCAGCUUCUGCAGUGUUGCCGAUUUGCUGCUGGUUAUGUUCAGCGACUUGCUGCUCUCUCCGAUGCCGUUAGACUGAGAAAUCCCGAACCUUUUUCCGAAAUUCUCGGAUGAUUUCACGACUGCCAAACGACCCCCCAUCGAACCAUCGGGAGUACCGCAACCUUCUGCUUCGAGCUGGAUGAACUCGGCUAUGCUCAUUAUUAGGGCGUUCUCGAAGUCAUCCUCGACCUCGUUAUCGUUGACAUCUUUGUAACCGUUUUGAACGAUGCAACGGUACAUUCUGUAGGAUUUGGGGCCGAUUCUUCCGACGAGAUAUCGUUCCUUUUGGGGGACGAAAGGAACGGGGACAGUCUUGUUGCAGACGAACACAAUCACUUGGUAAAAUGCCGGUAGAUUGGUGAGGAAAUGGGAGAAAGUGGCUGGAACUCCGUUUGCUAAGUGAGUGUAGAUGAGUCCUAUUCCGGGGAUCCUUACAAUGCCGAGAUCGGAACCGAGGGUGAGGAUCCAUUUCAUCGGCAAUUUGUGGUGUUGAUCGUAAAUGUACUUCUUCCUGCUACCGUAGUGCCAAACGAACAUGGUGAACAAAAAGACGGCAGAGAGCACGAGGGGAACCCAUCCCCCUUGCAGGAUUCUUACGUACGAUGAAAAGAGAAAGAUGAUCUCGAUUGUCCCAAAGAAUAAGAAGAAUGAAACAGCAAGCAUCAAUCCCUUGUGCCAUACAAAGUAGAUUGCCAAAGACAUCAGGCAAGUCGUAAUGAAUAUCAGUGUCAUUGAUGCUAUCCCUGAAAAAUCGACAGUACAAUUUGUUAGUGCCUCUCUUGUGGCAAUAGCAGUUUAAUUGUAAAUGAGGUCAUUUAGGUAAGAACUCAAACAUCAGCUGUUAUAACUAUUACUUAUCAACUGCGCAAAUCGAAAUAUACAAUUCAGCAAAAAUAUUCAGAACAUUUGUUAUCAAACGUCAUCUGCAUUAUCAGCAUGAGAAGGACUAACCAUAAGCGUUUCCAAUACGAGUUGUAUCUUGAGAACCGAGAGUGACUGCCGAACAGAGAAUCAUGAGAAUCCAGUUUAUCUCAGGGAUGUAUAUUUGACGAUCAAUCCACUUUGUUUUGUGAACAAUCUUUACACGAGGGAAACACCCUAGCGCAUGGCAUUGUUUGACCGCAGUAAAUGUAGCACAUAGCACAGCUUGACUAACAACCACUGUUGCCAGAAUUGCUAUCACCAAAAUGGGCCAGAAAAAUUGCUCUGCAUAUAAAUGAAAACACCAAUGAGGUCAUCCGCAUGCCUCACAAGUUGCCAAACAUCGUAAGCUUACAAAUGACACUGUUAUAUAUUCUCAAAGCACUAAACUACACUGGUCCAAAUGAUUUCUGAACGAAGUCGGAAAUCGAGAUAGUAGGGGAGGAGUGAAGGACUGAUUCUUGUUGUAACGUACCUGGAACUGAAGCGUAGAAGCUCAAGGAUAUUGCAGAAAAAUUCUUUGAAAGAAAUGCAGCCUGUCCCAUAUAUUGGAGCACUAAACAUGGGUACACAACAAAACAAUACGCAACCUGCAAAAAGCAAUAAAUGCUAUUACUUUGAAACAGAAGGAAAAGAUGGAGAGACUAGGUAUAUCUUAUUUGGCAAGAAAUAGUUGCAAAAUUAAAUUUACAACAUACCCUAAUUGAUGAAGCUGAGAAUUGGCCGAGAUCCGUAAACAAAAUAUCAAUUCCUGCAGUUAAAAGGCAUAAGCUUUACCCCAUAAUAAAGCGUAGGAAACCAUCCCAUAAUGAAACGGAAUAUUACCAGUAAUACAUAAAAGAGCUCCUCCAAGAGAAAUCCAGCCAUCAAUGCCAGUGAGUCGGAAGAACUUGUAGAUGUAUACUGGAGAAAGGGCCUCGUAUAUUCUAGGAUUCCAGAGAAUGAUAUUAUAGACACCAAGAGCAGCGCUGGACAACAACCAGAGAAUGAUAACUGGAGAAAAGAUGAAAGCCACCUUAUGCGUGCCUUGAUAUUGCAAGACGAAAAGGCUGACUAGUAAAAUGCCAGCAAUGACCACCAUGAUUCCUGUAUGUAUAAAUGUGUCAGUAUUUUAAGCAUUCCAUCAGAAGAUGAAACAUGAGUUUAAUUUUGAUGGACGGAGUACAAAUUUAUAGAAGAAUAUUAGGUGCUUUGACUAGUUUCAAGUUUUAUCCUCAUGCCUUUCAUGUUCCAACAAUACUAAAAUCAUUAAGAAGAACAUGCUCCGUAAGAUAAUAUUCUUGUAAUAUAGGAAUGGAAUUUGGAAACCAGACAGAGUAAUAUAUCAAACAUAAAUGAAGCUAGUGCACGAUGAGCAUCAUGCUGCACAUUAAAGAAUGGCUAUCAAUGGGCCACGGAAAUGCAUUAAGCUAAGCUACUUCAGCAGAAGCAAAGGUCAUAAAUACUCACUGUGAUUCAGAUCGUUUGACUGAACUUUGAGGCCUUCAAUGGAUGAAACAACUGCAGACGAGCAACUAUCAAGCAAUAAAGCAAAAGAAAUAACCAGGUGAAGGUAAAACUCAUGAAAGAAAAAAAAAAGAACUCACCAGAAAUUGCUGGUGUAAGGACGCCUAGAGUCAUGGCCAUGCUAGCACCCAUCAGCACCAGCACAAGUAGGGCUAACUUUGACUUCUUAUCUCUAUCGGUAAUCCUUUUGAACGAAGAGGCAGGCACGCUUUUAUUAGAGUAUCCUGCAUGCUGAUAUGUCGAAAGCUCCUCAUCUGAAGCUUGUUGAUUAGGGAGCAAGGAAAACUUCCCAUGCCUACAAAGAAGUGAAUAUAAAGCAAAAAUCCCACCUGCAAAAAUCAGAAAAAUGGGAUCAUAAUGUCUCUAUUUGGCCAAAUGGAAAGGCGAAAAGACAAUAACAAACAAAUGAUAUGAUCAUUCAGAAGUUGAUCAGUUCUUUACCUUCACCGUUAUCGUUUACACUGAGCAUGAAGACAGCAUAUUUAAACAACGAAAAGAAAGAGAGGGUCCAAAAGAUGACGGAGAAAGCCCCGAAAACUGCCUCUUCGGUUCGAUAAUGGCGCAACCUUCCCGCAAAUGCACUUCUAUAAACAUACAGAGGGGAAGUUGCCAAGUCUCCAAACACUAUGCCAAUACUCUGAUACACUAACAAAAGAAAAUGCUUGCUCCGAGCCUUAUUCUCAUCCUGCUUAAACAACAAAAAAUUCAGCAUCAUUAGCAUGCUGACAACAACUAAUCCUCUUCUAAGUUCAUCUUCGGAGUCUCAAUCAAGCUCAAUGCAACAGCUGACAAGCACAAAAAUGCCACCUUUUCAUACAAUUUGAUAAUUUUAUAGAUUCAACAUCAAAGCAUGGUUUAAAGUACCCAUCAGAAACUCAAAACUCAGAAGUCCUAAAAUGGAAAGGAAGAAUCUAUCAAUAACAUCAAAUACUGGGUAAAGACUUGCGCAAGAUUUCAAUUUCCUGGAUGCGGGUAGUAAAACAAACAAAAUAAAACUCCCCACAUAACCCAAAUUCCAUCAUCUUCCUAUGGAUUGCACGAGCAGGAGAUAUGGAAAAUGCAGCGGGAUGAGCAAUUCGAAGGUGGAAAGAUAUAGAUAGAGGCAGGUUACCAUGUUUUUGUCGGAACUCGGAAGGAAGAAUAACAACCAGCAGUGUGGAGUCGAAAGCAAUCUGAUAAAUUUAUUUGGUUGGUAAGGGUGGUUGAACUUUGGCCUGGUUUUAUUUGAUCAAACCAUUCCGAUUUAAAGCAGAGAUUUUUGUUCUGGGUUUGCUUUUUAGGUUUCGGAGAUUCAUCGUAGUCUGUAUCUGGAUAAGAGUACUACUAGGGCUCCAUGAUUGGAUCAAAGAUGAUGGAAUUCUUUACAAAUAUUAAAAGUUUCUACAGUUUUAUCGAGUAAAUAUUUUAGUUUGGGUGUGGAAUUUUUUUUAAAAAAAGGUAUAAACCCAAGCAAAUUAUAUAAAUUUUCCUUAUAUUAUAAGAUGUGUAGCGAUAAAAUAAUAAACUGAAUAUUAGUAGGUAGUUCAAAACAAACCUGAACAUUUUCAACUUUAAUAGGUCAAUUUCGAUCAAAUAUUUCACGAAAGUUAGUGAAUUUGGAAGAAUAAUGGUAUGUGAGCUUACCGUUUCCGAGCAAUUGAAUCACGACCCGCAAUCAAACUGCAAUGAUACCUUCAUGUACUCUUUCUCUCAAACAAUAUGCAACCCAAUUACAACCGCUCUCAAUUAGGUCCCGAUAAUCGAAUGGAUUUCUACGUUAAUGGAAUAUGUUACCAAGCAGCAUCCAACAGAAUUGGAAUGAUGAUAAUCUCAUAUAAAUUUAGAUAUGGGUAAAUCAUAUGUGAGCAUAUUAAUUUGGGUAUGUUUCGUCUUUAAUUUUUACGAUCUAUCUAUUAGGAUGAUUAUAAUGCCAUCAUGAAUAUUGUUAUCACUUAAGUGUGUCACUCUCCAUUCUAACGGCUCAAUCACUUAGCUAUUAUUUUACAUUCAACGUCCCAUGAUAUUUGGAAGAAAAUUGGACUAUUAUUCGAAUAAAAAUUACAUGAAAAAUUGAAACUAACCAUUACCGAAAAAUCAUUUAGCUAUUAUUUUGCAUUCAACGUCCUAUGAUCUUUGGAUGGAAAUUAAAGUAUUAAUCGAAUAAAAAUUACAUGGAAAAUUGAAGCUAACUACUACCGGAAAAUAUACUAACAGAAUGGAAUAGCUCGGUGCCUGUGUAGACAGUAAGUUUUAAAAAGAAUGCGUCUGCCGGGAGUCGAACCCGGGUCUAUUGCUUGGAAGGCAAUUAUCCUAACCGUUGGACUACAAACGCUGAAUGUUGAGACGAGACUUAAAGCUUUAUUCUACAAUUAGUAUGGCAUAUGCUAUACUUGAAGUUGCAAAUGUGCAAGGGAAAGUUUUCUCUGCUAGCUAGCUGCAAAAGGGAGAUUUUACAUGUCUAUGAUCGAAACACGUUCGGUGUCUGGGAUACUCGAGUAAUCGUAAAUGGUGAGCCUGGUAGGGUUUGAGUUCCCCUGAUGCAUUCAUUGCAUGUUCAGUGUUUUGAGUGAUAUAUCAUUCAGCCAACACAGUAACACACUGCUAAAAAACCAAUCCCUUUCCCCAAGAUAUGGCAAGAAUUACAACUCAUUGCUAAAAUUCAAUGUAGUAAGGAAUUAGUCAGUGUCCCAUGAUGGCUGAGAUCAUACAAAGUCAAGCUGGUCUUGUAAUGGUGGCAGAAUCAGAAUCAUAUUAUACUCAUAAACCUGACAGAUAAGUCUCAGGGUUUGGUUGCCUGCUAUAAACUUUUUCAUGAAUUAAUGAAGCCAGCAACUGAGGGAGGUCGGAUUCUGAUAUAGUGAUGUCUUAAUCAUUCACUUCGUCACUUGGGAACAUAUUCCUCAACUUGUUCCCAUUGUGCAUCAGUUCAUCACUGAUUGUUCACUGAAUAAUGCAGGAAAAGAACGCAUUGAUUUCGCGUUUUCUCCGCGUCUAUGACGAUUAAAGGAAGCUAAUGAACCAUCUCAUUAUGGAAGAUUUGAAGAGAUACCUUCAAACAAAAUGACUGACAGAAGGAAUGGAAUUAUGUUCUUUGAAACGGUUCUAUAAAUAUAACCAUGUUAGGAUUGUUCCAGCAUAUUUAUGAUUCCUUAAUCUCCUGGAAAAUUUCUAUUGCUAAGAAACAACAACUUAUGCUGUCAAAACAUCAACCAAGUUUUGUGUUAGGAUAUAGUUACCAUGCAUCUUGACUUCCAUAUUUUCAAGAUUUUAUUCUAUCGUAUCAUGUUAUUAAAUACCAUGUCCGGAACCAUUUUGUUCCAAUAGCUCAAGUUAUUGAAAGAAGGUGUAGAACUGAUCUUAUACCGUUCUUUUACACCGACCUGACUUUGUUCCCUUCAUCCCCCAACCUUUAAAUUGCUCUCUCUCUCUCUCUUAGCCAAUUCUUAAUCCCACCACAUUUCAUCCUACAUUAGCUGAGCUUAUGCUUCGCAUAAUGAAUGGAAAGAAGGGAAGUUACCAGAAUUUUAAGCAAGUACCUCUCGUUCUAUUACUUGUGUUGCAAUUAAGGUGGCAUUACAUCAUUAAUGAAACAAUGGCCAUCACUUGUUCCUCUUCACCUACUGCCUGAUCAUAGUCUCCGGAUACUGGAUGGGGAACCCGAUCAGAACUGCCAUGGACCGGCUUUACUCGAUCGCUAUUGGAGGGUUUGUAGCCCUUCUUGUGAAUGCACUAGUGUUCCCCAUUUGGGCAGGGGAACAGCUCCAUAAGGAGCUUGUUGAUAGCUUCAAUGCAGGCACAGAUUCGCUCGAAGGUAGUUGAAAUCUCGGUCUUCGAUCUUAAAAUCAACAUUAUAAGAAUGAAAUUCACAAGCUAACAUGAACCCUUAUUUGUGUGUCCAUUGAAAUAAAUAAAUAGAAUGUGUUCAGAAGUACUUGAAGAGGAAGGACUGGAGCAUCAAGAGUUCACCAGCACGGUGAUGGAUGUAUUCCCGGACGAGCCUGCUUAUACGAAAUGUCGAACCAUCCUCGACUUGUCCGCGAAACUCGAAUCCCUGGUACUUAUAUAUACAGGUUGCGUCAGUUGGUGAUAACUUGCACAAUUUUCGUUGUCCAAGUGGAGUUGUUUUGGUGGUAGAGUUAUGUGUUGGCUACCUGUUGGUACCAGGUCGAGUCCAGGCAUAUUCUAACACUCUAUAUAAUGUUUAUUUGCUUCUAUCUUGUUGUCUUCAUAUCUCAGACAAAAAAACUUGCACGAUUGCAUUGCUAAGAACAUGUUUAUAUGGAUUUUAAGGCGAAUUCGGCGAAAUGGGAGCCACCACAUGGAAGGUUUAGACAAUUCUCCAUCCAUGGUCAGAGUACGUCAACGUUGGUGCUCUACUCAGAUACUGUGCUUAUGAAUUCAUGGCACUUCAUGGUGUUCUUCAUUCUGAGAAUCAGGUACCUGGAUUCUUAAGAAAAUUUGCUCACGCUGAUUUUUUCUGGUCACCAACAUUUCGAAUACGGCCUGCAUAGAUUCUUAAACGUUCACUCCAACCAUGUUCGUUGCAUGAUUUCUGAAAUGAUCAGGAUGCUAUGUAAUUUAUUAGCGAGGAAAUGUAUGCGACUCUCAUAACUUAAGGCAAAUCGUAAUCUUGGACUAACUUUAAAAUAAUAAAAUGCAGGCACCAUACAAUCUCAGGGUCACGAUCAAGCCCGAAAUUCAAGAAGCAGUCACUCAGUCCGCGGAGCUAAUACGAAACAUGAGAGACGAGAUCAACAACAAACUUCGAUGCUAAAAAUGGUCUAUGGUUCGGCUGAGCGGCUCCAACGCGCCAUCGACUUGCAAUCUUACUUGCUGAUCGUGUCAAACUUCGAUCCCGAGACAAAAAAGAUGACCUCCACAGCCUUCAUGGACGAUUCUUCAAGCCAGCUCCCGAUAAAUGGCAACGAAACGGAUAAGAUGAGGACUCUGGAGAGCACAGCAGCACUCUCAUUGGCAACUUUUACGUCAUUGUUUCUUGAGUUUGUUGCUAGGCUUGAUCACGUGGUUGAAGCUGUUGAUGGGCUCUGCAAAAUGGCCAGUUUCAAGCAUGAGGACGUGGUGUAGGAAGAUAGACAAAAUGUUUACUAUUUUGUUGCUACGAAUUGUAACGGGGAGAUAUGAAUUGAUACUUGAACCCUAAAACAUCUUGUGGAAGAUAAAGUUUAGCCAAGACUAUACACAGACCAGUUGGUACACAUGAGUCCAAUGUUACUUCAAUUACAAAAACAUCUAAACUUCAAAUGUGUUAGGUAACUUCAAAUGUGUUAGGUUAACUCAAGCGACUAAUGAUGAGGGCAUAGCGAACACUAACCCGAAAGACAGAUUACUCAAAGCCAAACCAGAAUACAAGAGUAAGAUGAUGGCUGAGCUCUAAAUAGUAAAUACCUCUUUUUAUGAUGUCGGCGCGUAUGAGAUUGAUAGAAUUGAUUGCAGCUUUCGAAAUCCUUGCUCUUUGAAUCUGUCGAUUGAUUGGCCAUUUGGUUGAAGCAUUUGAAAACCUUUUCAAGAAUGGCCAAAUUCAAGCACCAUGGCUAUGGACACUGAGCAUUUACCCACUAUGAUUUUAUUAGAAAUUCAACGCAACAAUUUACAAUGCAGGCAAUAGAGACAGAUAUUUACACAACAAAGCACUAGUAAUUACCCCUAACAAAGACCCUACUUGGCAACCCAAAACUGACACAAAAGGAUGAUGAACUGUUCAUGUUCCCCACUGUUCUACCAGAACAAUCAGCACCAAAGGAGAAAAUAAGCUUUCAGCACCCAUGGACUCCAUACCAGACAUGACACAACAAACAUAAAACAUAAAAGAAAAAGACAACUUCUGGGAAAGCAAAGCAAAUGAUUCAUUCAGUAACCACCACUUGAUAGGUAUUGCGCAUGCUGAUAUUCUCUGCUGCUAAAGCCAGUACCAGUACCAGAACCAUUUGCCAGCAAUGCCAUCAAACUCCCACCAUGAACCCUGCCUUCGGGUACAGACGCAGGCUUCGACAAAUGAACCCUGCCUUCCCUGCCAACGAUUUGGUUUCCUUUUGCCUCUGUAUUGGUUCCAUCAGACGAGACAACAGCAGUAAUUCCUCCCAUACUUGAAGCAUCUACAAUCAUGUCAUCUGGAGCAGCAACUUCUUUUGUCUUGCCGGUGCGGCAGCUGCCUUUGGGAUCCUGGACCAUAGUACCCAAAGUGAUACCACCAUGAACCCGUCUAUCCUGUACCAAACCACUGUGUAGAGCACAGAGACCGGUUUUGCCCCUCGCAAAAGAGUUGCAAGCAGCAGUAGGCUGAACACCAUAUCCUGACCCAGGAUGGCCCCAAGAGCAUCUCUUUCCUCCACCAUGUGCCUUGCAGAAAUCUGUGCUGCCUUGGGCACUUUUCCCGCACCCUUCAAACUUGCAUCGCUUGCCGCCACCAUGACGAACACAAAAGUCAGUCCGUCCUCUUGCACUUCUUGUGCAUUCAGGAACAGCACACCUCUUGCCACCUCCAUGUGCUACACAGAAGUUGGUUCCUCCAUGGACACUCUUAGAACAAAUCCCACCACCUUGGAAGGCACACCUUUUCCCUCCUCCGUGACCCUUGCAAAAAGGGGUGCUCCCCUCGGCUCCCUUAGUGCAACCUGGAGCUGUGCAGCGUUUCCCACCACCAUGUGCUUUGCAGAACAUUGUACUUCCUUGAGCUCCUUUUGUACAAUCAGGGGCUUGACAUCUACGGCCACCUCCGUGAGAAAUGCAGAGACCUGAAAGACCUUCGGCACUCUUGGUACAGUUCUCCUUCUGACAUCUUUUCCCACCACCAUGGCGAAUGCAUAAACCAGAUUUGCCUCUAGCAGCACGAGCACAACCUUCAUGACUACAUCUCCGACCACCGCCAUGGGCAAUACAAAAGUCUGUCCUGCCUUCUGCACUUUUUGUACAACCAAGGAACUCACAUCGGCGACCACCUCCAUGGGCCUUGCAGUAUACAGUACGUCCUUCAGCUCCCUUAUGACAUCCUGCUUUCUGACAUCUCCUGCCACCACCAUGAGAUAUACAGCGACCAGAAGCACCUCUAGCCCCCUUCCCACAUCCUUCAACUUGGCAUGUUUUAGAACCAGACCCACGUAGAGAUCGUUGCUGUUGUGGUAGCCCAGAAGUACAGAUGACCGAGUCAUUUGGUGCUACCAUACCAGCUGAAGGAUCUCGGACAAUGGGAUCACUAGCUUUGUGAACCUUAUUGAAAAGAAAGCUGGCCUCUUUGUUGCAAGUAGUCUGUGCUGGAAUCACUGUAAAGCCUGUUUUCUGGUAGUAUGAUGUUGAUACAUCAGCUAAGCAGAAAGGCCCGCCAGCAGUUACAGGCAAUUCAGUAGCAAAUUCAUGUGAGGCAGAACCAGCAUGAACACUUGUAAUCUCGGAUUCAGAGGGUCCGGUGGCCAAACUCAACUCCAGGUCAACUUUAGUUGAAAAUUCCAGUCCUUUAGCAUGCGAUGUAAGAGACUUUUUUGAGCUAGAUACCUUUUCAUUGCCAAGAUGGAGGGAGAAGUCCAACUCAAGAUCCAUCGAAGACUCAUCAUCAGUUUCCUUGGCAGAUGACAUUGUAGUGCAUCCAGUUGCAGAACUUCCUUUGCUAUCAGAUGAACUCGAUGGCCGGCCCAACCCAAGAGAUAAUGAAGAGCCAACCUGCUGACUCAUUGCUCCAUCAAUUAAACUCCAUUUCCGCUUCACUCCCUUAGAAGGAGGAGCAAAGGGAACAGAAGAACCAAAGGAAUCGAGCCUUAAGACUGUAUCGGCUCUAGACUGAGGUAUAACUCCUCCAGCUUGCAUAACCAUGAAUGCAUUUGAAGGGUAAUUAGCAGGAAAACCUAAGUUCUGGAGCCUGUUCUCCAUCAAUCAGAACCACAAACCGAAUGUAAUUUCUCAACCUAAUAACCUACACCAAUUAACUGUACACCUAACUACUCUGAGGUUAUAAAAUACCAAAACUAUGUUAAUAGUUGUAGGUCACGCUAUCCAGCAUGUACAACCCCCGCUGACAAACCCAGAUGUGUCACAACGAUCCAUAUUUCCUUUUUAACUUGUCAAACAGAAAAGCUGUAGUGGAUCAGCUGGAACAGACGAGGGUUAACAGCAUAGCAUCUCCUACUUCAUGAUAUUGUCAAGGCAGCCAAGCAUCCUGUUACCACAGCAAUAAACCGCAUAAUUAGAGCAAGUAUUGAAGCUACAAACAAUGGAACAUCAGGCUUGAAGACAAAGACUUUGAAUUGCAAAGAUAAUAUGAAGUUCAAGACAAAUAAAGGGAAAACAAGACAGCGGCUGUUAUACUCUUAGAUCAAAAAUCAAUUCAGUAAUUCUAGCAAAUCUCUAGACUGGUGUAUAAGGGAAACACAGAUUGGAAAAGUUGGUUAACUCGGAAAUGAGAUUGUAUGAAAUACAUCCAUAAGUAAGAAAACUGAAGGCCAGAUUGCAGAUUUCUAUGUGUGAUUACUGUCCACAAAGUCCAAAAAUGAUAAAAGACAAAUCUUGAAUGCAAGACAUUCGAAAGAGAAUUCUAUCAAUGAAACCAAAUUCGUCACGUAAUUAUUCAGAUUCAACUUACAAAAGGCACACCGAUGAAAACCGUAAGAUCCAACACUUCACUCGAACAAAAAACUAAGAAACGAAUGAAAUUAAAAGGCCUCCAUAACUCGAGACCUCCGAAAACCCAUUAAGACGAACAAAAUCCACCGAUUACAAACAAGUAAACAAAGAAAACGUGAAAUCCUCGCUCCACAGCUACAAUCAGCAUCGACAAAGACCAACCCAGCAAUUCGUUUUCUAAGAAAGGCGAAUAACGGAAGCGAAUAAGAUAAACAGAAUUGCGUAGAAAGAGAAGCAGUGAAGUACCUUUGAAUUCCGAUGAUUGAACACCGAUUGGGGAAAGAGCGGGAAAGGAAACGAAGAAAUACGGAGAGAGAAAACGCAGCGUAGGGAUCGGUGCAAGGCGGCGGAAGGGUCUUUAGGGUUUGUAUGGACGAUGAGAAGAAGGAAGGCGUAGCAGAUCUGAGAGAGAGCGGCGGGGAGAAAACGAGAGGAAAAUUUUGCGGAGAGAUAUAUAUGAAGAGGUGGAGGAGAAAAUUUGAAGGCACUUUGCCUUUUCGGUGUAGGGUGGCGCACGUGCUGACGAAUAUCGUUCGCACGUGCCGCUACUACCAUCGGCGUCGUUUUUUUUUUUUUCCUUUCGGUUUUAGAACCUCUGCCGCCAACCCGCUACGCUACCCGCUGUUUUUCAUUUUGUUUUUAUUUUCCUUUUCCUUUUACUUCCGCUCUUUUCAUCCUUAACGUUCCUUAAUUUCAUUCGUCGGAUCGAGCCGAAAAAUCAUGGUUUAUUUAUUUUCAAUUUAAAACUUGAAUAUAUAUCACAUAAAAAGUCUUUUAUUUUCGUAUGAUAUUUUGCAUUUCAAAUUAUAUUUAAUCUGAUUCAAUGCACUCAAUUAUUCUAAAUUUACGGUUGUUAAUAAUAAAUUGAAUAUAAAAAAUAAAAGACGGUUGAUAAUGCACACAACAUAGGGAUGAUAUUGCCAUGGUUCUUAAACAUAUUAAUAGGAGGAGCUAACAAAACCGAUUUACACUCAUCUCAAACAAAGCUCGGAGACAAAAACAUUCCCUUUGAAAGUAAUUGCACCGAAUCGCUAUACUUCGUCGAAGUCACUACACCCCCUAAUACGAACCAAAGCAUCGAGGGUCGAAUCCAGCCCACCUCUCGUCCUAUUGGGGUCCAGAAUCAUAUAUAUUUGCUACCAUUAGGUGUCUUUACUCGUACAAUUGCCCUGUAAUUAUCAACUUACAUUAUCCGGCGAGUAAUUUUAGGUAUUGGAGGAGACAGUGAAAUGUGGAAUCGGAAAACAUGGUGGUAAAGUAGGAUGACAUCGUGAUCUGGAAUUGUGAUCAGGAUAAGGCCGGCUAGGCUAGGGGCGAUGGAUCAUAAAUCCACCUUUUUGGAACUUUAAAGGACAAACUUAUUAAAUUGCAUCUUCAGAUCUCAGGUUUGGUGUUUGGUUCGAAAAAACUCGUUCGUGAUUCGGUUUAAUUUUAAACGAGCCAAAUUUGAGUUACGGUAUGUUCGGCUCGAUAGGUUUGCGAGUUGGAUCGAGUUCGAACUCGAGAGCCAACUUAAAUACUAACUCGAUAAUAUAUGGCUCGUCAGUAGACUCAAUUAUACAACACGUGUCUCGCACCAUAUACAAUAGAACGUAUGUAGGAAAUUAAAAUUUUAGAAUAGUAUGUUUCUUAGCUUGAUUUGGCAAUGUUUUUUUUAGCGUACAGGUUUCAAAUUCAACUCAAAUUGAUCUCUCAUUAUGGAUUUUAAUAAACGAAAUUCGAGUUGAGUUCGAGUUUGGCCCGGCAAUAGUAGCUAAAGAGCCGGGAUCUAAUAUGCUCGAGCUCGACACAAACCAAAAUUAUUUAGGUCGAGUUGUAGCUCUUAACUCAAUUAAAACUCCGACCAGACUUUCCGACCAUGUUGUCCGGCCGGCAAUGGAAUAACAAAACCGUGGAGAGACGCGACGUCUCGUUUGCCACAAAACAAAUGGCGUACAGGCAGAGGCCCACGUCCCCAUUUCUUUUUCUUUUUUUCCGUUAAUAUCUUCAAUAAUAUUCAUCAUCGGUUCGGUUGGGAAUAAAAAUCUACAAAUUUCAUCUUUUUGAUUGACCCAAAUGACCGACCAAGGACGAAGAAAGAAUAUGCUAAAUAAUAUUCCAUUUUUUCCUUUUGUUUCUUCUAAAAAUAAUAUUUAUUUUAUGAGCGGAUACCGGUUUAGUACUAUUGUUAACCCGUUAGAAAGUAUAAAACAUUCAUCUGGUCGGCAAGCCAACUCGGAGGUAUAACACCCGUAAACGGGGACGCAUGGAAAACAGAUUAUCUCGUUAAUAUAUGCGCAACCUGAUUCCUUUCUUUCUGAACAAAACAAAAAUCGUCUCCCAAACUUUCAGCAGCGAUCUACACAUAUGCACUACUUCUCCAUACUAUGUGACAUCAUCGAUUGGCCAAGCUAGCGCGUUGACGAGGAGUUGUGAAUCACUUUCGAAAAUAACCUGUGGCAUUCGCAUAUCGAUGAUCCAGCGGAGAGCUUCCCUUUAUAUAUAUAUAACUCAAAAGAGAAGAGAUCAUUUUGGAUGGCCAUUCCCCAUCCCACGUUACUCCUAUUUGUGUUGCCAUCCAUCCAUGUUCAUCCUUUCACUUUCAUCCAUCUCUUUAUCUCUUUUCCCCCUCCCUUCACACCAUUUGUCAACUUCCACUACCGUUACUUUCUCCCCGUUUCGCAUAUACAUGCACUCUCCUUGCACUCCGGUUCACUUCUCAAAAUUCAGUCAUAAAUUCGUCAUUAUAUUCACUUUCACUGAUCGUAUUUGUGCGGGUUCAGAAAGAGUAUAAUGAGUUACCACAUUAAAAGUAGUGCACAAUUUUCAUUUAGCUUAUCCUUAUAAACGGAAAGAUCUAACUCGCCUACUUUAUUGUAUGCCUUAUACCGAGCGAUCCUACACAAUAUCAUCAUAACUUUCUCAUCACGACGGACAAGUGGUUUCCCCGGUGAUGGGCCUAGGCCCAUCGGCCGACUCCCAUCAGACAGCAAGCCCAAGAGCUCGAGCCUAGCCGCCGACACACCACUCUGUCGGUCAUCCCAGAGGGUCCGAAGGACUAGUAAUCAUUAACUGACAGAUCCUUUGACUUCCAUCGCUUGUUUCAUUCGUGUGACAGUGCAUCCCGCCCCUUUAGUUGACAGGACAUCAACCGCAGUAAGAGGUAGCUCAACCGCCAGGCCAGCCAAGCUUUAUGCCAAGGCAUAUAUCGACAUUUAACCAUCUAACAGUCGGGAUCUUCUUAGGGUCUAAUCACUGAUCGUCGUCUAACAUUCCCAAUCAAGCCCAUGCCACUAUUAUAAAACUUAUAAGGCACGAUAACCACUGCAUUUAUGACACAUUAUCUACCCUGACACUACAUUGAUCUCAAACCUCUAGAUACUUAACUAGUAGCAAAAUAAGUGGUUUAUUCGUAGCACCCAACUUGGUCGGUGGCCUAAAAGUAACAGUUUCGAACUAUCAACCUAUCAAUCCAAAUCUGAAAUCCUUAAUUACCUCUAAGCGAACCAAUACUCAACGUCGGUACAUAAUCGCUGAAAAAACACAAUGCUAUAUACUUAUAUAAUCAGUUAUCAGCAUUCAGCAGUACCAAAGAACCUGCAAAUUCUAUGCAUCUUUAUAUAGAAAAAGAUUGAACCAAACUCUUAGAACAUGUCUGACUGUUUUCUGGAAAUAAACAAAUGUCAAGUUGAUUACAAAGAUUAUGAACUUCUUUUUAUGCCAGAGGUUGCGUUUAUUCUUCUUCGUCUCUCUAAAAUACAAUCUCGAACAAUGUCAUGGCGGCGAAGACCAGGAAAAGAAUCCCCCCCGUGUAUGCAAUGACCUGUCAACCAAAAUGGGUCACUUCCCCAAAGUGCAUUAAUAAUUGUAAACAAAGAGUGGUUGAAUUGAAGCAGAGAAGCUUAAAUAUUCUGUACUAGCACGUGGAAAUGUUUCUUCUCUUCUCUGUAUAAUAUCAUUAACAUUGAACAGCAAAAUCACAGGGAGGCAGAAGAACGUGGUCUUUCUUUUCUAAUUUUCCUUUGUAAAAAACAGUAGUGGUGUUGAAGAUCCACUAUAAAGAUAUAUAUUCCAAAACAACAACAGGCUUAUGUUGUUAUGGUACGAAUUCAGCCUGUCCUCCAAUGAUGUCUUGUCCAACUCAGGGGGUGGGAAUCUUUCAAUGGUAAAAAUAUACCAAGUUAUCAGAUUUUUCAAAUAGGGGGGAUAGUAGGAAAUCAAAAGGUGUGAUGCAUCGUUGGCCGAAUACUCCAGUACUUUAUAACCAGUUAUUCAAACGGAAAGAACUAAUGAUGGCUAACAAAUUGAAUGGUUAAGGGUCAAGAUGCUGAUAGGUACAUGCAACUUGAGUUUCAAUCAUGAACCUUUUUUGACCCAAUGCUAAUCUGCUCAUUUGCUAAAGUACAAGCAUAUUCUGGGUUUCACUCUUUUAUCAGAUAAUGAAAUUCCAAAUUAUGAAAUUGACACUCAUUUGAAGAUAGAUAACACAUAAGGGGAAGAUGAAGGGUUGAAGAAAGUUUUUACCUUUUCCGAGAGGAAUGUUCCAAGUAAUGAACCUCCCAAGACGGCAAUCUGCCAAAAAAGUUACUUCAAGCUUAAGUAAAAAAGCAGAGAAGAAGAUAGCUAGCUUGUAAAACACGUUUCAAUGGAAGCAGAAUCAAGAUUAUGUUUUUUAAUGAAUUAUGGUAUGAAGUGAUAGUUACCAGAGUUGCAACGGCAUGACCAGCUAAGGAUCCAGCAAUGACACCAAGAGGCGAAGAUGCAGCAGCAAGUGCUGGAAGAUUGAACAAAAGGAUGUCUUAGGAAAGAACCAAAUAAGUAAUAAUAUCAUAUCAAUUGGGAAGGAGAAACUGUCGAAGUUGUAAAAUUUAGACUAGAAACUGACCGAUUGUGGAGAAGAAAGAUUUGUCACCCCAUUCCGCAACAAAAACCAAAGCAAAUGUGCUGAUAAUGGUGUUGGCAGCAGACAAAAUGCCUGCACCAUCUCCUGAGAACUCCGAAACUGCUAUUUCCGCCUAGUUUCAUAGCAUAAACAAAACGAGGAAUUAGGUUACUGUCACUCAUUUAAUGUUCAUGAAAUGAUGGGAAUAGAGACUGACCUCUUUCUGCUCAUCUUCUGCUUUCAUGCUAUCACUUGAAGAAGCAUCAAUCAAUGUUGAAAUCCCAAAAUAGACCUGAUAUUCGUUCAAGUUAGCUCGAAAGUUGUUGAGUUCACAAGGCAUAAUAGUGUAACAUUUUCCCGUUCAAUCAGAGCAUUAUAGACACUCACCAGAAGGCAUACUGCAGCAAUAUCAUCAAUUGGCAAAUCGGUUUCGCCAAACCUGCAGAUCCAAUCUUCUGUUAGUAAAAAGAGCAGCAAUCGAAAGAGCAGGUUCUAGCAAUAAAACAACGUUCAAUACAGUUUUGUGUCAGCUAGUAUAAUUUCACGAAGUUCUCUCACUAGAGUCCCCAGGAAAGUACCUGAAAGGAAGGAUCUCGUCCACAUAAUGGAAAGUUCUUCCAAGUACAACAGAUAUGACGGUCAUUACCCUGUUGACAUAGGAAGACGAGGGUAAGAUACACAAAUUAAUCAGUAUAAACAGUUUACAUUAUCGAUGUUCAGUUAUCAACCUAGCUUGUUAGAUGUUUUAAGAAUGAAGGACACAAGCAUAACAUCUGAGAGGAAGGAACAUACCCAAGUGCGCCAAAGGUUCCUGCAAAGACAACAGCAGCAGAAUUCCUAGCUGCUAAUAGUGCCUGCAAGCGAAACGAAACAUCUCAUCAUCUUAAAUUUUAAAAAUUAUGAACAGUAAUGAAGAGUGACACUUCAGUGAAAAUGAGUAAAACAAACGAAAUUUGACUAGCUCAUACUUAUUCCUCAUUUCAGCGAGAACGAGUAGAGCCAGGUUCUGUUUCACGGAUUAAGAGUGUUAGUGUUGUAACAGUCUUACCGCUAUGAAAAAGGUUUUGUCACCCAACUCUGAGAAAAAUAUUAGCAAGAAUGCCUGCAACACAACAAACAAACCAAAUUAGGAAGUUUUCAUGUUUGCAUUCCAAAGGCAACUCCAUCGGAAAUGCCAAGUGUCAAGUUAAAAUGGGAAACCAUUUAGUAAUUCAACUUGAAAGAUUUUUAUACAAAAGAACAGAAAAGGUGUUAUAUUGGCAGUGAAGUCAUGCAAUAGGUAGACACAAAGGUUCAGUUUAAUUUGUUCAAAUAAUCUCUAGGAUGAAAUAAACGACAUCAUCGAUGCUUUAAGCUCGAUUUUUCGAGCGAGGAGACGUAUCAUUCAUAGAAGGAACAAGGAGAUUCUCCUAACUGAAGCAAAACCUGUACUAAUGUCACCAAGGUCUCCAAUAUAAGGUAUCGUUUGCGACCCACUGCUCGCAAGCUCAGUUACAGAAGCAACUGCCUGAUCAGACCCCUGAAACAUCAGAUAUCCAAAGAGCCACAUGAAUUUCAUCAAACUCUCAUGUGAUACGGAGGAUUCCACCGCGCCAAACUCCUUCAAUGAAGUUCUCUUCACAAUGCCACCCAUAAUCCGAACCAAUUCUUCCGCCUCCAGCCAAUUUUUGGCUCCAACAUCCUCAACUUCCUGUGACCAAAUUCAACACCCACAUAACUUAAUGGCUAAACAUUCACCAGAAUCCGUAAGAGGGAAGGUAAUCAUGAGAGGGAGCAUUACUGGAUCCUCAGAAUCCGAAAGAACCAUGGGAAGAAGUAGCCCUCUCGUUACUGAUUCCUGAAUUGGGUCUCUGAGGCAUUCUCUCGAACACCUAAUAUGCAUGAUCAGAGAAACGCAACUAAACAAAGCUGACACCACAAAUUCUCCAAGAGAAGAAGCGAAAUUGAAUUAGUUAUUACCUGGACGAAACAAGAGAUGGGAGAUUGAAAGGAAGGCCUAGAGGGAGCAUACGGGAAUCCAGUGGCUUCUUGUAUAGACAUGGGGGUGGGAAAGAACAAUGUGGGUGAUGGAUGGAACGCCCUUCAGAGACCGCCACGCUUCGCAUUCUGGCUAUGGUAGCAAAACCAAAAUUACAAGGCGGAAGAUUGAACGAAGGUACAAACUCUCUUCUUCUUCUUCUUCAAAGAGCUGCUGGCUUUUCCUGCUGGGUUAUAAUUUUCGUGUGGUGAUGGAUUGAUCUCUGUGGUGGGAAUGGUGGGUUUGUUCUCCAACAUGAUUGGAUAGUGGUGGAUAAGUUUUCUGUUAGCUGGAUUUGCCGCCAUUAUCAUCUAUCUUACCGUUUACUUUUGGGUUACUGUGGUGUCAAACAUUGGACCUCAAAAUUGCACGUUACUGUUUAGUUCCGCGAAAUACUAUCAAAACGAAGUUUAAUAAUUUUUUUUUAAAGUAACGCAUCAAAAUUGCACGUUACUGUUUAGUACCGCGAAAAUGAUACUAUCAAAACGAAGUUUAAUAAUCUUUUCUAAAGUAACGCAUCAAAAUUGCACGUUCAUUAAAACCCCGUACAAAUCAUAUGUUGGAAUCCUGUGGAAGAGAUAAUUUAUCGCUUUGUUCGGAUGCAAUGAUUUCUACAUCCGCGGCACAAUUAGUUUCGACAAUAAUUUCAAAAAAUAUCAACUAAACACAUUUUAGCUAUUCGUUUUGAAAUAGAGUAAAAUUACAGCUAGUUUCUAACACAAUGCGCUAGGUUGGUGGCCGAUAAUGUGCCAGUGCCAUAGCUGAAGAUCGUCGACAGAAUUCUCCGCCUUCUGGGACCUCCUUUUCAAUGUCGAGUAUGCGCCAACACUGUAAAGCAAACUGGCAUUCCACAAAGAGAUGCCAGCCUUCCUCAUAUCCAUGAAUGCAUAUACCACAUUCCCCUUGCACCUGGGUUCCCUUUCGCCGGAGUCGUCCCCUCGUAGGUAGAACAUCAUGCCCAAUUCUCCAUAACAGGUGCCUGUGUUUCGAAGGUAGGUUUGAAUCCCAUAGUUUCCUCCAUUCACCCGGCCUAUAGUGGUGGGAUCUAUUGACCAUAUGCUCCAUGUAUACUCGAUAGGCCGAACGAACCGUGUAUUGGCCAUUUCUGCCGUAAUGCCAAAUAGUUGUCUCGAUCCCCGUCGCCAUACUAACGGGAAUGGAUAGAAUCUCUCGUUGGUCUCGAGGAGAGAAGAGGUUUGUA